CUUUACGAUCCCCUCCCCCGGACCCCACUCCUCCUUAAGAACCCCCGCCCCUGAGCCCACCCUGGUGUCUCUCUCCUAGAAUUCUUCUCUCUGCGGCAAGAAUCCCAAAAUUUCCCCUCCUUCUGGUCCGAAUUCCGCCGCCCCGAUCUCCGGAGAUGGAGAAUUCCGGCUUCCUCUCGUGCGAGAAGCUCGACCGCUUGGCGAAUUGGCUCGGGCGAGCGUCUCCUCGGCCUUCUUCGCCUCCCUGGAGCGCUGCUCGUGCAUCAAUCUCAGCACCACCGACAACGAGGACGACGCCCAGCCGGAGGAGGCCAAGGGUCGCCCUCUCAUGCUCACCAAGCCCAUCUCCCAUGAUGCCCCUGACGAGGCCCCAAGCCCGGUCCCUAAAACCCUAAUUCCGACAAGCUCCCUGGGUCUGAAACCGCCUCUCUCGCUGGUGUUAUCUUUCCAGGAUCGUAAUCGAUGUAAACGAUGUUAUUGAUGCUCCUUGUCUAUGUCAGGUUUAGUUGUUUGCAGAGUCUUCGAUGUGGUUAUAUAAGGAUAGAUCUAUGUUUAGAUGAAAAUUUGUUUUCUUUCUUGUUCUGAAUAAUCUUGUGUCUUCUUUAAAUUUCUUUGGGCGUGCAAAGUUCUUAUUUUGUUGAAUUUUUGUAUACUUUUCAGAAUGGUAGAGUAGUACAAAAACUUGUACAUAAUUAUUCAUGCUUCCUUUUUUAUUCUGUUCAAAUAUAUCCGCUAUUGGCCGAAAGUGAUGUCGUUAUUUAGAAGUAGAUACGUGUUCGGAUGAAAAAAUUGCUUAUAUUUGUGGAAUUCAGUGUCUUGUUCAAGUUUCUUUGGUGAAAAUUUUUGUAGUUAAAUAGAUUUGAGAACUUUUGUCAGGUUGAUUUUAGCUCUUGACUUGUUUAUUUAUUUUCCCCUGGCAGAACACAUAUUGAUGAUGAUAAAUACUAUGUGGAAUGAAAUUAAUGAUUAGAGAAGCUCGAUAAUUGAGAUAAUAUGCGGGGUAUGUCGAACCUUGUUCUCCAUAGAUAAGUUUAUGCUUUUUCAGCAAUAGUCUGCUAUUCAUCAUUAUUAUUUUUUCGGAGGCUGUUUGAAGAUGUGAAAAUGUAGGUCUAAUUAUCAUAUGACUGUGUAUCUUGCUGGUUUGGGGUCAUUUGAGGAUUAAUUAGGAGUCACCAAAAUGCUUCACUGAAUAAUAAUCGAGGAAAAAAUUCGAAUUUAUUAUGUCCGUGUUUCAGGUAUUAAAGUACAAGGAGAUGUUAGGGUUAUUAGAUAGUGCAUUGAUCCUUAAGAAGACCAAGUUUAGAAUAUGCAUUGGACAUACAGUUUGGAGCAUGCAGGUUUUUGAGCUUAGUUUCUUAGGCACCUGAUAUUCUUGAAGUGGUGUUGGGGCAGUCUAAGAAUCACCAAACAAGACCAAUGAUAUAUAUGUAAAGGGCGUUUUCAGUUCAAUUCAAUGCGAAUGAUCAUGAUCAAUGGGUGGGUUGUUGGAUUACCUUGACUAGGUGAAUGUUACUUUUGUAAAUGAGGAAAGCAAUGAUUACUUUUCGGGUGUCAAAAAGAGCUUCCGACUGAAGCAUAGAAUGUAUUUUUGGAGGAAACUAUAAGUCUAUCUUAUGUGUGCGAAAUGAUUAUGUAUCUCAUUUGAUCUGAAACUGUCAUUAAAUACAAGCAGUCAAGUCAUGGUUAGUUUCUUAUUUGCAGCACCUAGUGUAUCUGAGACUUAAAAAAGAAAAGAUGUUGUAAGGUGUAACUUGUGUGGUGGAUUUUUAAGAGGAUCAUGUUCUCAUCACAGUUAGGAUAGGUUGAUUGCUUCUUGUUAGGAUACAAAAGGACAUGAGAGAAAAGUAAUCUGAUCUUUCUAGGCAUCCUCUAUGAUUUUUAUUCUGUUUAGUUUGAAAAUAAAUAGCCAAUUAAUCAAAUCACUUAACAGGAGAAAGAAAGAUGAAGAACUAAGACUUUGGCAACAGAAAAAGAAAAAAGAUAAAGAACUAAAGAGAUGGCUGGCAGGGCUAAUCUUAGAAUUCCUGCAGUCUGUAAGGUCCGAUUCGCAGUAAAACAUAUUACAUAUUAUAUGGCAUAGUCAUCUUUAAGCUUUAUUCCAUGGUUCCUUCAAGGCCAAGCAUGAUCCAGAAUGCUCAAAAAUUCUUUUUUGGGUUCAUAUUGAAUACCAAAUAAUGGUUCAAGCUUGCGAAUAAAUUCCCUUAGUUUUUCUUGUUCAAGUGAUUCUGCAUGCCAUGAUGUCUUUCUUGCACCCUUAAAUCCGAAAAGCUGAUUCUUGAUCCACAUUGAUUACGUAUUGAUCAAAAUCAGUUCAAAAUCAACAACUGUCUUAUGAGCUAAUCCAUGUUCUCUUUAACGAAGACUUAUUUCCCAAGUCUUGCCUAUAUUUUUAAAGGUUCUGUUAUAACUUCGGCAAGGGUUAGAGGAUUGGCACCACCAUCUUCCUCUUUAAAGAUUGCCGGAUGUUCUUUUUAUGUUUAUAAUUGAGGGAAGACAUGUUGAGCCUAAUGAUGGAAAAGUAUGAGCUAUAUGUAGCUUGCAACUUGUGAGGGAUUGAACCUCCUACUUUAACAAGGCACUUUCUUUUCUAAAUUAUACUUGUGUCCAUUUGUUGACUGAUUACAUUAACUCAAAUGCACUUUGUAGCCUUGCCAAUUCUGUAAGUUGAAUUAUACUUAUUCUUCUUUGCUCUCCUACAGUUUCUUGAUUCUUGGCUUGGAACUAUUGUUUGUUUCUUAGCAUCUUAUACAUUUAUAUCACAAAAUCUCAUGCUUAGAUUACCCUUUUACUUCUCAUCCUAUAAAAGCCUCAUUUUAAAGUAAUAUAAAUUAUAAGUACAAAAGAUGAUCAAACAUGUUCGAUAAGGACAUCAUGUGAAGGUUGGCAGGGAUGGCUUCUUGAGCCAUUUGGUAUGUUUAGUAGCUCUUUUGUUCAGUCAACUGUUCUAAUUGGCAUUAAAGGAUGAUCUAAUGUUCAGAUUAGAAUCUCAAAUGUAUCACUUGAAGUAUAUGAUUUCUAAUUAAUCAUCAUACUAUUAUUAUUAAAAGGAAAGGAGAAUUGCCUGGGGUUGCUUUGCCCGAGAGGGCUGCGAUUUCUUUUCGGACCGAAGGAGGGCGUGCAUGGUAUGAGAGGAUCAUGAAUUAUGGUUUGCAGCCAAACACUGAAUCAAGCCAAUCACAUGAUCUUGAGACUGCCUUCGUUCCAAUUAUUGCAUAAUGAUUGGAAACGUUACAUGGUUGAACUCAGUGUGGAGCGAUGCCACUUUCUUUCUUUUUUUCUGGGUAGAUUGUAAUGUAAUGCGUUAAUCCCUCAUUUAAUUCAUCAAAUUUUUGUAUCAAAUUAGAUUCUCUAGAUCCUAAGCCUGCUGCAUUGGCAACACCGUUCGUUGAGCUUCUGAUUAUCACUAUUGGUUUUCCACCUUCUGACAAGUCCCCAACUGCUUGAUCAUGAUUUGUUGCCACAACUCAGAUUAGUGAAGUCUGGAGAUUGCUGGUCAAUCUACACAUAAGUCAAGAAGAGCAAAGAAGGUCGCCGGCCGGGAGGCCUCCGAUGUUUAAGUUAGAGCUUUAAGAAACAAUAGAAAAAAGGAAGAAAAGAGCAGUAUAUAAUUUGAGAUGCAUACCUAAUACCUUGAGCUUUUUUUUUAGAUUUUUUAAU